CUCUAGUGCUACCCAGGAAUCAGGGUCCCCAGCAACAAUGCCACUGUUCAAAAUUCCAGCUAAAGAAAAACGUGAGUACUGUGGAUUUUCACCCCCUCUAUUUCUUGCUGAUGUCCCAACUGGACCAAUGAGCCCCGUGUGAUCCCUCGAUUCAGGAGCAUGGGUAUUUUUCAGCAGUGUUACACUGAUGCUAAUUAAAAUACUAGUCACUGGCAGAUUUUAUUAUGGAAAAUAAUCAUCAUAGAUUAUAGCAAAAAUAUGACAGAGCCAUAAAGACACUUAGAUGGCUAAUUCUCUGAUCUUUUUUCAAGUGACUUAAAAUGUAAAAAUUUAAGUGAAUCUCUUGGAGGAUGGAUUUGCUCUUGUGAAGUGAAACCAUCUUCACCCAAAAUCAGAGAUAUAAAACAGGGGUGAAUUGGGCCCUAUCUUAACUAUCCCUUAAUAUUAGCCGUAAAUUGAUUUUAUUUGAUCUACUUUAUAGUGGAUCAUCUCACCCAGGUGGUACAAUACAUAUGAUGAAAGUGAAGAAAGAUUCCUUGUCUACUCUUUUCUUAAAUUAAUUAGGCCUCUUUUAGCUUAUGCUGUACGGGGAGCUAUCUGAGAAUUUCAGUCAGAAGGGAUCCCAGUGACAAAUCUAGCUCAACCUAUACCACAAAAAAAAAAAAAAAAAAAAAAACAAUUCCCCUUAAAAUCCUCAUCUGUAAAAUGGGAUUAAUUAUGUUGUGAGUUCCUAAAUGAAAUAAUAUUUGUAAAGCACUCAGCAAUGUUAGUGUGACAAUAGUACUAGCUAUUGUUACUACUAUUGUUAUUUUUCAUGAUAAAGG